rnacentral:snRNA from 1 species
AUCUUUGCGCUUGGGGCAAUGACGCAGCUAGUGAGGUUCAAAUGCAAUAGACGCGUCUAUUGCUGGUUGAAAACUAUUUCCAAACCCCCUCUUAGGCUCAGGCCUUUAGGUUCGAAAACAAA